UUUUUAACUUAGAUUUAAGAUGAUUUACGCCGGAAUGAGAAAAAUAAUUUACUUUAAUUCCAACAAAAAUAAUUUACAAAAUGAUUUGUAAAUUUAGUUAUUAAAUUUUUAUGCAUUGCAUAUUUAUUAAAUUUAACAUUUAGCAUCUACACGAGCUAUUUAAUUAGCAAAUCCUGAAGAAUUAUUACAGUUCGAUAAAUCAACACAGAUAUUUUAUUAGUCAAAUCACCUACACCCUAUGAUAUCCAUCAGCCACCUACCCACCUCCCAUACCUGCAUUACACCUCAUUCAUCACUACCAUACCUGCAUUACACCUCAUUCAUCACUUCACACCAAUCACCCAACACACUUUCAUUUUUAAAGAGAGAGUUGAAGCUUCCUAACUUCAUCAGCCAACCAGUCAAACAGGAGCACAUAGAGUUCAAGUUCAGAGCACAACAAUCACCGAUUCAAGGUUUUACCCCACUAAUUUUUCACAGAUUUUUAUUCCAGCAAUAAGCAUACAAUUUCACAGGCAUGAUAUAUUUUAGUUCCACAAAUCUAUCAGCAAGCUUUCAUCUUUCAUAUAUUCGUGUAUAUAUAUAUAUAUAUAAGCUUAUGUAUAUUUUACUAAAUCAGCAGCCCAUGUUAAAGAACACAUACAUGAAUUUUUGGAAUAGCUUUUCACAAAGUUUUACAUAUACACAAAUGCUUUUAAGAAAAACUGUACUAGUAAAUAAAAGAGAAGAAGAAGAAUGCUAUAUGUUUGUUGGGUGUGUGAGCCGGGUCUGGAGAGGGUCGACGGACGGCGGUGGUGGUGGCUACGAAAGCUGCUACUGCCCGGCCGACGCAGGGGAGUGAUACGGCGGUCGGCGGCGGCUCAUCGCUGUUGUCCAUCCGGCGCAGCAGAGCGAGAGGGAGGUGGCGGCGCCCUCGCCGUUGCCAAGGAGGGAGGCGGACGAGGGGUGGUGUCUGGGCGUGAGCUCAUGGUUGGUGUGUGCGUGAGAUGAGAGGGAGAGAGAUGAAAUGGGGUUGGACGGCGGCUGGAUAGCGGGGCGGUUUAGCGGAGGGAGGCAGGGCACGGCGGCGGUGCCGCUGCUGCCCGGCCACGGCUGGAGAGAGAGGUGGUGUGGUCUGGUCUGGGCUGGGGCCGCGGGGGGUUGAGCGGAGGACGGCGGCAGCCGUGGGUUGCUGUCGCCGGGAAAUUGAUGAGGGAGACCGAGGGAAGCAGCGGCUGCUGCUGCUGCUGCUGUCGGCCGGUUGGGUGAAGGGAAUGGAGCUUCGGCGGCGGUGAAACUUCGAGAGGAAAGAGGGACGAGCAGAUCUCGGAUCAGUCGAGAGAGAGGGUGACUGAUGAGGGAGAGACAGCGGUGACUUGUUGUUGUUGCGUCGCCGGAGAAUAGAGAGUUUGAGGGAUGGCGUCUGUGGGUGUUGGUGCGAUGAGGGAGAUGAGAGAAGGGAGAGCCGAGAGUAUCAGACAGCCUGUCGCCGCUCGCUUCUCCGGCGAGCGUCCGCGGCGGAAGAACUGUCGAGAGAGAGAGACGAGUUGAAGGAGAGUGAGAGAUUGAUGUAUGAACGUGUGCGUGUGAUUUAGGUAGAAGAAGAUGAGUGUGGGCUAGGGCUUGGUUUGAGUUUUG
rnacentral:lncRNA from 1 species